CCUACGGGGUGCAGCAGUGGGGAAUAUUGCACAAUGGGGGGAACCCUGAUGCAGCGACGCCGCGUGGGUGAGGAAGUACUUCGGUAUGUAAAGCCCUAUCAGCAGGGAAGAAAAUGACGGUACCUGAGUAAGAAGCCCCGGCUAACUACGUGCCAGCAGCCGCGGUAAUACGUAGGGGGCAAGCUUUAUCCGGAUUUACUGGGUGUAAAGGGAGCGUAGAGGGCAGGGCAAGUCUGGAGUGAAAGGCGGGGGCUCAACCCCCGGACUGCUCUGGAAACUGUACGGCUGGAGUGCAGGAGAGGUAAGUGGAAUUCCUAGUGUAGCGGUGAAAUGCGUAGAUAUUAGGAGGAACACCAGUGGCGAAGGCGGCUUACUGGACUGUAACUGACGUUGAGGCUCGAAAGCGUGGGGAGCAAACAGGAUUAGAUACCCCUGUAGUC
rnacentral:rRNA from 1 species